UACGUAGGGCGCAAGCGUUGUCCGGAAUUAUUGGGCGUAAAGAGCUCGUAGGUGGUUUGUUACGUCUGCUGUGAAAACCUAGGGCUUAACCCUGGGCCUGCAGUGGAUACGGGCAGACUAGAGGUAGGUAGGGGAGAAUGGAAUUCCCGGUGUAGCGGUGAAAUGCGCAGAUAUCGGGAGGAACACCGGUGGCGAAGGCGGCGACCUGGGCCAAUAUUGACGCUGAGGUGCGAAAGCGUGGGGAGCAAACAGG
rnacentral:rRNA from 1 species